CCCAUGUAAUGAACAAGAAUGGGAUAAAGAGUUGGCUUACAAUCGCCACUUCACACAAUACAUGAAUAAAACAUACAUCAUUCAGAGAUACACACAUAGGUCCGACUACGGAACCCAAAAUAAAAGAAGACAACCCAACUGCUAGAUCCCCGAUCGUCCCAACUGGGCUCCACUACUGAUCAAAAAGAAAAGAAACAACACAACGAACAAGAUCUUCAUCGAGCUCCCACUUGAGCUCAGUUGCGUCACCUGCACUGGUAUCAUCGGCACCUGCAACUGUUUUGGAAGUAUCUGUGAGUCACCAGGACUCAACAAUAUCACACCCGCGAGAUCAAGACUAUUUAAGCUUAAAGGAAAGGAUGGGGUAAAGAGGUGGAGCUGCAGCAAGCACUAAGCAUAUAUGGUGGCUAACAUACGCAAAUGAGAGCGAGAAGAGAAGCAACGGAACGGUCGUGAACUAGCAAUGAUCAAGAAGUGAUCCUGAACUCCUACUUACGUCAAACAUAACCCAGAAACCGUGUUCACUUCCCGGACUCCGCCGACAAGAGACCAUCACGGCUACACACGCGGUUGAUGCGUUUUAAUUAGGUUCAAGUGUCAAGCUCUCUACAACCGGAUAUUAACAAAUUCCCAUCUGCCACAUAACCGCGGGCACGGCUCUCGAAAGUUUAUACCCUGCAGGGGUGUCCCAACUUAGCCCAUUAUAAGCUCUCACGGUCAACGAAGGAUAAACCUUCUCCCGGAAAGACCCGAUCAGUCUCGGAAUCCCGGUUUACAAGACAUUUCGACAAUGGUAAAACAAGACCAGCAAAGCCGCCCGAUGUGCCGACAAAUCCCGAUAGGAGCUGCACAUAUCUCGUUCUCAGGGCAACACCGGAUGAGACAUCCUACGAGUAAAACCAGACCUCAAGUUUCCCCGAGGUGGCCCCGCAGUCUACUCGUUUUGGACCAACACUCGAAGGAGCAUUGGUCUGGGGGGGUUAAAAAUAAGAUGACCCUUGAGUCUGCAGAACCCAAGGGGAAAAGGCUUAGGUAGGCAAAUGGUAAAACCAAGGUUGGGCCUUGCUGGAGGAGUUUCAUUCAAAGCGAACUGUCAAGGGGGUCCCAUAAAUCACCCAACCGCAUAAGGAACGCAAAAUCAAGGAACAUAACACCGGUAUGAUGGAAACUAGGGCGGCAAGAGUGGAACAAAACACCAGGCAUAAGGCCGAGCCUUCCACCCUUUACCAAGUAUAUAGAUGCAUUAAUUAAAUAAGAGAUAUUGUGAUAUCCCAACAUAAACAUAAUCCAACAUGGAGCAAACUUCCUCUUCACCUGCAACUAGCAACGCUAUAAGAGGGGCUGAGCAAAAGCGGUAACAUAGCCAAGCAACGGUUUGCUAGGAAGGGUGAAAAGGUUAGGGGCUGACAUGGCAAUAUGGGAGGCAUGAAACAACAAGUGAAUAGGUAACGCGGCAUAGCAAUAGAGCAAACAACUAGCAAGCAAAGAUAGAAGUGAUUUCGAGGGUAUGGUCAUCUUGCCUGAGAUCCCGCAAGGAAGAAGAACAAGUCCAUGAAGAAGACAAACGGACGUAGUCGAACGAAUCCUCACAACUCCGGAAAGAAACCGAAGCUAACGAGAGAAGCAAACCGGAAAGAAACAAACAACAUAGUAAACAACCACCACAUACACAUGGCAUGAUGCAAAAACAAAUAUGAUGCAUGUCCGGUUUAAUGAGGCAUGGCAUGGCAAAGUGCAACAAACAAUACUACAAAUUAAGUGGAGCUCAGUAUGCAACGAGUUGCAUAUUGACGAAACACCACAUCAAUUAUUUAGUUCUCUCUCGAUUAUGUACCCAACAAUGUUAAAUGUUGUUAACCAUGGCAAGAGGUGAAGCAUAAGGAAACUACCUAUUUAAGCAAGUUAAAUGAGGCCGGAAACAAACAACAACAAUUCCGGAAAAUCCUCAUGUCCAUAUAUUGGGAUUGGUACUGUUCUGCCAUAAACACAAUUUUAAUAUUGUUAAACAGCAAAAUGAAGUGCACCAUGUUAAACUAGGCAUUUUUCUACCCCAUUUACAUAUAAAGUUUAUUAAAUUCUGAGUUACGGUUAAUUAGUUAUGAAAUAAAUCAUUUUAAUAUGGCAUUUAUGCAAAAUUAAAUAAACAGCAUUUUAAACAUUUUAACAUGGGAUGAAAGUGGCAAAUUAUUAAUCUACACAAAAUUCUAAGCAUUUUACAUAUUAAAAUCAUUUUAAUCCGAUGCACCAUUUGUGAGUUAUUAUAUGCAUGAAGUACAGGGGGUUUUCUGUAAAACUGUAAUUCUCUGGAUAAUAGAGAAAUUCGCAGAUCCUAAAAAAAACAUCACAUGGGCCGAAUGUGAAUAGGAAGCCCAACAGAGGAAAAAAAACAAGAGCAGGGGCACUGGGGUGUGGCCUCACCCAGUGGGCCUUGGCCCGUUCGGCUUGGAGAGGGAGGCUGGAAGGGGGGGCGCUGGGCCUGCUUGCUGGUAGCCCACGCGGCCGCUGAAGCUGGGCCAGGGGCGCUGGCUAUGGUCAACGCGGCAAGGACGAGUGGCGUCCUCUGUCGCCCGAAGCAGAGGAUGGAGCGGUGGUUGACGACGCCGGGGACGCGCAGGUGAUGGCGGGGAGGAGAAUCUGGCGAGGAUGCGGCUUGGCGGCGCCGGGCUUGAGGAGGCCGCGGUCAACGAGCGAGGGGCUCGUCUCCCUCGCAGAGAGACGAGGCCGGCAGCAGCCGCGCUGGAACGGGGAACGAUGGCGCCCUCGGGCGGGUGAGGAACGACGGGCGGAUCAUAGGCAUGGCGAGGACGCGGAUCCGGCAGGGGCGGCUCCAGGGAUGAGGUGGUGAUGCUCCUUCCUGCUCAACCGAGAAGGGGAGAGCAGGGGAGGUCAGAGAGGGCAAAGGAGAGAGAGACAGGGACUCGCGGCAGCGGGGUCUCACCGGCAAGGUCCGGGACGAGACGACGUGCACGGGAGGCUACGGGGACUGGGUUGGGCGCUCGGCCUCCUGUUCGGCUGCUUCAGCCACGAGGACGAGGAGGCGGGCACGCAAGGUGGAGCUCGGGCGCGCGAGAGGCCCGGCGAGGACGCGGCUUGGGCUGCAGCCAUCCAUGGCGCUGCAAUAGGAGGUCGAGAGGGAGAUGUGAGGCACGGGAGGUGCAGGGGAAAACGGAGGAGCAGCAGCAGGGCAUCUCACCGGCGGCAGAGGGGGUCCUGUGCUUCGGCGAGGUGGAACUCCGGCGUGGCACGCGAAGACGACGGGAUCUAGGGGAGGCACUAGUUGGCGGGGAGAGCUCGAGAGGGAGUUUGGAUCGGGGGCGCGGGCACCUAGAUCGAGGAGGAGCAGUGGGGAGCGCUGGAUGGAUGGAUCGGGCAGGAGGGACGGUGGUUGGCUCGGAAUGGAUCCCGAGAGAACAGUGG
rnacentral:lncRNA from 1 species